AUUGAACGCUGGCGGCAGGCCUAACACAUGCAAGUCGAGCGGCAGCACAGGGGAACUUGUUCCUUGGGUGGCGAGCGGCGGACGGGUGAGUAAUGCCUGGGAAAUUGCCCGGUAGAGGGGGAUAACCAUUGGAAACGAUGGCUAAUACCGCAUAACCUCGUAAGAGCAAAGCAGGGGACCUUCGGGCCUUGCGCUACCGGAUAUGCCCAGGUGGGAUUAGCUAGUUGGUGAGGUAAGGGCGCACCAAGGCGACGAUCCCUAGCUGGUCUGAGAGGAUGAUCAGCCACACUGGAACUGAGACACGGUCCAGACUCCUACGGGAGGCAGCAGUGGGGAAU
rnacentral:rRNA from 1 species